UCCCUUAAGAAAACCGAACCUCAUGAAUUUUUGAGUGUAACACUUAACCCAUACAAAAUCUCCCUGUGGUAUUUUUUGUGAAAUAGUCUGGAAACUUAUAGUUGCUUUCCCUCAAAGCUUGUCUUCUUAUUCUAUUUUUAAAUAAUGAAAGUUUUUAGUGACUUUUAUUUUAUACAGAAUUUUUGGUCAUGGAAUCUUGCACGAAUAAUUUCCUCUGAAACGAUUUGUUGCCAUAUAGCUUAAAGAUCAAGUGCAACUCUUUAAAGAACAAGAGGCACUGUCACAGGUCAUAAACAUUUGUUCACGCCAUUAAAUUUGAACUUAAAAUGCAUUUAGCGAAAUAUCUUUUAUUUUUUUAUUUAUUUAUAUUUACUUCAUAUUUAAUUCAACCGUUUGCAUUUCUUAAGAAUGCUAUUUUGAGGAUUCACUGUUUUUGUUUCUGAGUUGUACAGUGCCUAAAAACACCCAGUUGAGCUGAUAGGUCUGACCAAAUGUUUGCAUCCUUAUGACGUAGUUUUUUGGUUAUAAUUUCAACUUUCAAGGCUUCUCAGAA